rnacentral:rRNA from 1 species
GAUGGGGAGAAGACAUUGUGUCUUCGAGUCGUUGAUUUCACACUGCCGAGAAAAGCCUCUAGAUAGAAAAUAGGUGCCCGUACCGCAAACCGACACAGGUAGUCAAGAUGAGAAUUCUAAGGUGAGCGAGCGAACUCUCGUUAAGGAACUCGGCAAAAUGACCCCGUAACUUCGGGAGAAGGGGUGCUCUUUAGGGUUAACGCCCAGAAGAGCCGCAGUGAAUAGGCCCAAGCGACUGUUUAUCAAAAACACAGGUCUCUGCUAAACCGUAAGGUGAUGUAUAGGGGCUGACGCCUGCCCGGUGCUGGAAGGUUAAGAGGAGUGGUUAGCUUCUGCGAAGCUACGAAUCGAAGCCCCAGUAAACGGCGGCCGUAACUAUAACGGUCCUAAGGUAGCGAAAUUCCUUGUCGGGUAAGUUCCGACCCGCACGAAAGGCGUAACGAUUUGGGCACUGUCUCAACGAGAGACUCGGUGAAAUCAUAGUACCUGUGAAGAUGCAGGUUACCCGCGACAGGACGGAAAGACCCCGUGGAGCUUUACUGUAGCCUGAUAUUGAAAUUCGGCACAGCUUGUACAGGAUAGGUAGGAGCCUUUGAAACGUGAGCGCUAGCUUACGUGGAGGCGCUGGUGGGAUACUACCCUAGCUGUGUUGGCUUUCUAACCCGCACCACUUAUCGUGGUGGGAGACAGUGUCAGGCGGGCAGUUUGACUGGGGCGGUCGCCUCCUAAAAGGUAACGGAGGCGCUCAAAGGUUCCCUCAGAAUGGUUGGAAAUCAUUCAUAGAGUGUAAAGGCAUAAGGGAGCUUGACUGCGAGACCUACAAGUCGAGCAGGGUCGAAAGACGGACUUAGUGAUCCGGUGGUUCCGCAUGGAAGGGCCAUCGCUCAACGGAUAAAAGCUACCCCGGGGAUAACAGGCUUAUCUCCCCCAAGAGUUCACAUCGACGGGGAGGUUUGGCACCUCGAUGUCGGCUCAUCGCAUCCUGGGGCUGUAGUCGGUCCCAAGGGUUGGGCUGUUCGCCCAUUAAAGCGGUACGCGAGCUGGGUUCAGAACGUCGUGAGACAGUUCGGUCCCUAUCCGUCGUGGGCGUAGGAAAUUUGAGAGGAGCUGUCCUUAGUACGAGAGGACCGGGAUGGACAUACCUCUGGUGUACCAGUUGUCGUGCCAACGGCAUAGCUGGGUAGCUAUGUGUGGACGGGAUAAGUGCUGAAAGCAUCUAAGCAUGAAGCCCCCCUCAAGAUGAGAUUUCCCAACUUCGGUUAUAAGAUCCCUCAAAGAUGAUGAGGUUAAUAGGUUCGAGGUGGAAGCAUGGUGACAUGUGGAGCUGACGAAUACUAA